UCCCUGGUGGCUCAGCAGUAGAGAAUCUGCCUGUGAUGCAGAAGAUGCAGGAGACUCAGGUUCCAUCCCUGGGUUGGGAA
rnacentral:tRNA from 1 species